GAUGUAGAACGUAGCGAAAUGCGAUAAGUAAUGUGAAUUGCAGAAUUCAGUGAAUCAUCGAAUCUUUGAACGCACAUUGCGCCCCUUGGUAUUCCGAGGGGCAUGCCUGUUCGAGCGUCAUUAUAACCCCUCAAGCUCAGCUUGGUGUUGGGGCCUGCUGCACUGGCAGCCCUUAAAAUCAGUGGCGGCGCCAUCUGGCUCUAAGCGUAGUAAUUCUUCUCGCUAUGGAGUCCUGGUGGAUGCUUGCCAUCAACCCCCAAUUUUUCUAUGGUUGACCUCGGAUCAGGUAGGGAUACCCGCUGAACUUAAGCAUAUCAAUAAGCGGAGGA
rnacentral:misc_RNA from 1 species